GGAGCCAGACACAAGUGAGACAGGAGAGAGGGAGGACCAAGUGUGGAGCCGCCAGCCUCAGGAUUUCUAAUGGAACCUUUGGUAUUAGGAAUGAGUGAGGGGGCUGCCGAUUCCUGACCAGCUCUCCCCUCUCCCCUUCUUCCUUACUACUUAGAAUCUUGACUUUCUUGGGGGUUGGCAAUUGGCCCAGCUAAAAUGCUACAUUUCCCAGCCCCAUCUGAAGCUAGGGGCAGCCACAUGAUGCAGUUCUGGACAAUGAGGUAUAAGCAGAAGUUAGAUUGGGCUUCCAUGAAAACUCCUUGAAAGGGUGGGGACAUUCAGCCAGUGUGUACACAAAAGCCCUUGGCCCUCCCUCUUGCCUGGACUGUGGGUGUGAUGGUGCUGACUCCAGCAACUAUUUUGUGACCGUGAAUUUAAAGUCAACAUCUUAUAGUAGCAGAGGAGAAAGCUAGAAUGAGCCUGGGACCUGGAGAACGUCAUGGGGAUGCUAGACUGCCCUGAAUUUUUAAUGUUUGAUCUCCUCAUUAUGUGAGACAAAUGAGCUCCUAUUUUGUUUAAGCCACUGUUAUUUGGUUUUUCUGUUCUAUGCAGCCAACCUGGUUCCUGAAUGACACUGAGCACAUUAGUGUAUAUGUCAAGGCUCUUGAACUCCAUGUAUCCGUGGCAAGGAGAAUAUUUGAGGAUUUUAUUGGGGUCUGGGGCCAGAAGGUCACAUGAGAUGGACAGGGCCACUCUUAAGCCCUCUCCCAGUAGGCUGGGUAGAGUGAAGCACCCUUCCCCUCCUCAGGAGAACGCAGAUAGUAGUAGCUCUGAGAAUCCUGAAGAAGGAAAAACAGGAACACCACAGGAGUGACCCUGAAGAGAAGAGAAUACUUAGGUGCUAACUGGUGCCCCCACUCUGCUUCGCAUCUUCCCUGCAGAUGGGUUUAGGUGACGUGAGGGGGAAACCAACUGGCAAAAUAUAUUGAAUUUGAACUGGUUUCUUUUUUUUAAAUUGUGGUAAAAACACAUAGCAAAAUUUACCAUCUUAACUAUUUGAACAGAUUCCUUUUUAAAAUCACCCUUUCAAUCACGUUUUCUUGCAGCUGCCGUCUCAGAGGAUGAGCCAUCAGACAUUGCCACAGGGAAGGGGUGGGAAGUGGUCAUCCUCGGGACUCCAAGCUGACUUUUUUGACCUCGUUAUGGAGAUGACGGGCUGGACUAAUUGCGGGAUGGAGUGCUUGUGCAGACCAGAUCACGGAGGAUGGAAGCUGUGGUGUGAGUGACUCUGGCUCCUAGUGACAGCGCUGGAGGGACAGGACAGAGAGCUGCCCUCAGACCUCGGGGCGCCAUCCCCCGUGACCUCGCUGCCCCCUCCCUCUCCCCAGCGAGUGCAAACACAGCUGGUCACGGACUUUUGCUGCGGGAGGUGUUUUCCCCAAGCUGAUAGGAUCAACCUGUUCUUUACCUCAAACCUGUUUUUAAAAGGACUUUCCUGUUUUUUUUUUCUUUCUUUAAUUGCAGAAUAUUUUUAUAACAUACUUUGAACAGAAGAAACAGAACCUAGCAAAACAGUUAUUAAAGAGCUGUAAAAUGCUUUCCUCA